rnacentral:rRNA from 1 species
AGAGUUUGAUCAUGGCUCAGAAUGAACGCUGGCGGCGUGCCUAACACAUGCAAGUCGAACGAGAUUUGAGGAGCUUGCUCCUUGGGUCUAGUGGCAGACGGGUGAGUAACGCGUGGGUAAUCUACCUUCGAGUGGGGCAUACCAGGCCGAAAGGCCUGUUAAUUCCGCAUGAAAUGGUUGUCAUCUUGGUGGUGACCAUGAAAGCCCGGGAUCUUCGGACCGGGUGCUUGAAGAGGAGCUCGCGUUAGAUUAGCUAGUUGGUGAGGUAAUGGCUCACCAAGGCUACGAUCUAUAGCCGGCCUGAGAGGGUGAUCGGCCACACUGGAACUGAGACACGGUCCAGACUCCUACGGGAGGCAGCAGUGGGGAAUUUUGCGCAAUGGGGGAAACCCUGACGCAGCAACGCCGCGUGAGUGAAGAAGCAUCUUGGUGUGUAAAGCUCUGUCGAUAGGGACUAAGUGCCGCUGCUUAAUAAGUAGUGGAAUUGAAUGUACCUAUAGAGGAAGCCCCGGCUAACUCCGUGCCAGCAGCCGCGGUAAUACGGAGGGGGCAAGCGUUAUUCGGAAUUACUGGGCGUAAAGGGCGCGUAGGCGGCCUGUUAAGUGAGAAGUGAAAGCCCACGGCUUAACCGUGGAACUGCUUCUCAUACUGGCAGGCUAGAGAAUAGGAGAGGAAAGUGGAAUAUCCGGUGUAGCGGUGAAAUGCGUAGAGAUCGGAUGGAACACCAGUGGCGAAGGCGACUUUCUGGACUAUUUCUGACGCUGAGGCGCGAAAGUGUGGGUAGCAAACAGGAUUAGAUACCCUAGUAGUCC